AUUGAACGCUGGCGGCAGGCCUAACACAUGCAAGUCGAGCGGAUGAAGGGAGCUUGCUCCUGGAUUCAGCGGCGGACGGGUGAGUAAUGCCUAGGAAUCUGCCUGGUAGUGGGGGAUAACGUCCGGAAACGGGCGCUAAUACCGCAUAGGUCCUGAGGGAGAAAGUGGGGGAUCUUCGGACCUCACGCUAUCAGAUGAGCCUAGGUCGGAUUAGCUAGUUGGUGUGGUAAAGGCCUACCAAGGCGACGAUCCGUAACUGGUCUGAGAGGAUGAUCAGCCACACUGGAACUGAGACACGGUCCAGACUCCUACGGGAGGCAGCAGUGGGGAAUAUUGGACAAUGGGCGAAAGCCUGAUCCAGCCAUGCCGCGUGUGUGAAGAAGGUCUUCGGAUUGUAAAGCACUUUUAUCAGGGAGGAAGGGAAGUAAGUUAAUACCUUGCUGUUUUGACGGUACCAACAGAAUAAGCACCGGCUAACUUCGUG
rnacentral:rRNA from 1 species